UACGUAGGUGGCAAGCGUUGUCCGGAUUUACUGGGCGUAAAGGAUGCGUAGGCGGACAUUUAAGUCAGAUGUGAAAUACCCGAGCUUAACUUGGGGGCUGCAUUUGAAACUGGGUGUCUAGAGUGCAGGAGAGGUAAGUGGAAUUCCUAGUGUAGCGGUGAAAUGCGUAGAGAUUAGGAAGAACACCAGUGGCGAAGGCGGCUUACUGGACUGUAACUGACGCUGAGGCAUGAAAGCGUGGGGAGCAAACAGG
rnacentral:rRNA from 1 species